rnacentral:rRNA from 1 species
UGGGGAAUUUUGCGCAAUGGGGGAAACCCUGACGCAGCAACGCCGCGUGGAGGAUGAAGGUCUUUGGAUUGUAAACUCCUGUCAGCAGGGAAAAAGGCUGCGCCGCUCAUACCGGCGUAGAUUGAUUGUACCUGCAGAGGAAGCCCCGGCUAACUCUGUGCCAGCAGCCGCGGUAAUACAGAGGGGGCAAGCGUUAUUCGGAAUUAUUGGGCGUAAAGGGCGCGUAGGCGGCUUGGCAAGUGGAAGGUGAAAUCCCUCGGCUCAACCGAGGAACUGCCUUCCAGACUGCUUUGCUUGAGUCCGGGAGAGGUGAGUGGAAUUCCCAGUGUAGCGGUGAAAUGCGUAGAUAUUGGGAGGAACACCAGUGGCGAAGGCGGCUCACUGGACCGGAACUGACGCUGAGGCGCGAAAGCGUGGGGAGCAAACGGG